GGCUCCAGCUGAAAGGUUCCAAAUCUAGGAGCUGGAGUCCAUGACUCACAGGAAGAGAAGAUUAAGACACAGAGAUACCAGAGAGGUCGUUCACAGAGGAAAGACCAUGUGAAGACGCAGUGAGAAGGUGGCCAUAUUCAAGCUGAGGAGAGAGACCUCAGAAGAAACCAAUACUGCCAACGCCUUGGUCUUGGACUUCCAGCCUCCAGAACUGUCCUGGAUCAGAAGAUGCCUGACAAGAGGCCACUAUCAGCAGCAACAGCACAGUGGGGACAAACCUGAGACCUUGAUGGACCGUGGACACCAGCAGGAGAGACAGAGCAACUCAAUUGGACAUAAUUAGAGACAUCAUCAUAAAUAACGUGGAGCAGAUGGAAGAUGCCGGGCUUUUCAUUUCGAGGACUGAGUAGGAAGGUUAAUGAUGGAAGAAUGGGCAUAAAGAAUGGGGCGUUUAUAUCACAAAUCCAUCCUGCACUUGAACCUUUCCUGUCUGAAACCCAUACAAACAGCUGAAUUAGACAGAAGGAACUUGAAGUCUAAAUGGGCAGACAAGACCAACAUACACAAAGCAGAGAGUGGCACAAGAGCCAUGUCUGAUGCAACAGUGACUCAGGAGGAUCACUCUGACUCAGAAUGGCCAAGCAAAGGUAUUGGGAGGAAGUGGGAUAGAACUGAGCUUUGAAGACCGUGCUAAAAUAUUUACAGACUCCCCAGGUUAUCUCAAGUUCUCUCCAGGAAUUAGCUUCACCUCUUUGUGCUUUGGCUCCACAUCAGUUAAAUAGUGGUAACGUUUGAUCGUUAAGAACCAUGUAGAGAUGAAACAAUUUUCAAAGUUUUUUAAUUAAGUGUACUCAUUGCCACUCAAAGACAAAUACCAUAUAAAUAUAAUAAUAAUCAUAUUGAGAAACAAAA
ensembl:lncRNA LINC01808 long intergenic non-protein coding RNA 1808